rnacentral:rRNA from 1 species
AUUGAACGCUGGCGGCAGGCUUAACACAUGCAAGUCGAGCGGGGUGAUGGUGCUUGCACUAUCACUUAGCGGCGGACGGGUGAGUAAUGCUUAGGAAUCUGCCUAUUAGUGGGGGACAACAUCUCGAAAGGGAUGCUAAUACCGCAUACGUCCUACGGGAGAAAGCAGGGGAUCAAUUGUUAACUUGCGCUAAUAGAUUAGCCUAAGUCGGAUUAGCUAGUUGGUGGGGUAAAGGCCUACCAAGGCGACGAUCUGUAGCGGGUCUGAGAGGAUGAUCCGCCACACUGGGACUGAGACACGGCCCAGACUCCUACGGGAGGCAGCAGUGGGGAAUAUUGGACAAUGGGGGGAACCCUGAUCCAGCCAUGCCGCGUGUGUGAAGAAGGCCUUAUGGUUGUAAAGCACUUUAAGCGAGGAGGAGGCUCUUUUGGUUAAUACCCAAGAUGAGUGGACGUUACUCGCAGAAUAAGCACCGGCUAACUCUGUGCCAGCCGCCGCCGUAAGAC